CAUGGCGCCGAAACGAAACGAUUCCAUUUCGUUCAGUUAAUUUUUCUUGUCAGCGAAGCGAAAUAAUAUGGUUGCGUUUUUGAGCACCUCUGGUAUAAACCCCAUAAUAAUUGAAGGAAAUAUAUUAAUAUAUUAUUAACCUUCAUUUAUUUACGCCAAGCUCGUGAUUUUUUUACACGGACUUUCGAUGAGUAAUAGCGCAUACAUUUCUUUGGAGAAAUUUAGCUUUAACUCUCUCUAGUAAUGAUUUUAACCCUUUCUACGCGGCUUUAGGGCAGUGAAGACAAAUCUGUAUAAUUGCAUUAAAUGCGCUGUAAAUUAAUAAAAAAGCGUGCUUCCAUAACUUCGGAUUAUUAGAAAAUUUUAACUUAUAUAUACCCGAAGUAUUGAAGGUUUUAAGACAAAAUAUAUUUAACAAAAAAGCUUUAUUUAUGUGAGCGACGCACAGAGUAUUGCAAAUUAUUAUCAGCUUUCAUUUGGUUAAGCUAAGCUUUUGGAUUUAUAACCCAAGCUUUCGGAUAGUAAAAGCUCAUAAAGCUCUCUUAAUAAAACUACUUUCAAAUCUCUUUAGUAAUGAUUUCAAGACAAUGUUUUCAGGUUUCAGCAGCUAAAUCGGAAGGUGCUACGGAUUAAUUGAUACCUCCGAGGUUUACAAUUGUUCAGUUUACAUUGGAAAGCAUGAUUUUCCUUCCACGAACUCUUUAAGUUGCUUAUGAUAAGCAAAUGGUGCGAAAAUUAUCUGUGGCUACUUUUGAAGGUUUCAAAAUCGUUCUAUGUGCUUGGAGGUGAUGAAGUACCAUGCGAUAUGGAAGAUUUAAAUCGAUCAGCUACGGACUAAUGGAAUCUAUCAUUUUGCCUUAAGAACUCAUGAAAUCAGCAUCGGGCAAGUGUUUAACAUACGCAAGGUUUUGAUUGAAUUUCGGCGCUAUUUUCUACUCAGCAACGCGAAAAUACAUCCAUUAUCAGCAACGACGGUUUGGUCUUUCAUUGAGAUAACACUGUCUACGUGGAGCCGAACGAGUUUUUGCCUUGUAAUAUCUCGCUUGUUUAUUUUGAUUGAAUUUUUUCAAGCAAUUUCACUUUCUUUCAUGCGACAAUUAGGCAUGUCGAACUUAUUGAUAAAAGUUUUAAGCGAUGACAAAUUAAUGUCGGCUGAACAACGAGUGACCAAAUCACUGAGAUUUUAUAACGAUUACCUACGUUGUACGACUGGUUUUUACGCUGAGCAGCAGAAGUGUAGUCAGUAACAGUAAUUGUUGAGUGCAUUGAGUAAUAAUCAAUAUUUAGAGCAAGUAAAUGAGCACAGGCAAAUAGAGUUGCUCAGGCAGGCGUAGAAAUAUUGAAAUUUACGCUGUUUAAUUGACUCUCUUUCAUUCAAUAUUGGCGGCGAGCGCAGCUUUUCUUCAUGUCCGACGACAGCGCAGAAGUUUUAAAAUGUUUACUUGCCCGUUGUUACAUAUUUGUUUGUACCAAAUAAGCGCAAAAGUGACAAAUGGAUAUGCAGUUUCGCCUAAAGAUCAGUUUGAGUUUGGCAAAGUUUGGCUACUCCAUUGGCUGCAAAAAUGUAACAUAUAUUCAUUCAUAUAAUCAAAUAUAAUUAUACAGCUCUUGCAAGUGGAAGAAGUGUAGAACUAUAUAGAGUUUUAUGCCUCAAAAAGGUAUAGUAGAACCCUGCUGUUGAAAACAAAGGUUAAUCCAAUGCAGAUAAGAAUUAGCAUUCACCAAUCACAAUGAGUUUGUAGAUUUGUUAGAUAUUUGUAAAAAAAAAAA